rnacentral:lncRNA from 1 species
UCCAUCAUCAUUGCCGAACACAUAAUUCAUUUGAAAAGGUCUUCCCGAAUCGAUUGGACGUACACACUGACAGAAAUAUUUGCCACUGGUCUUUAUACUCAAACAUCGAUUUACUCAUAAAUGCAUUACUGAAAAAGGGCGAGGUUAAUUGUUUGUUUGUGUAGUAUCUCAGAUCCGUUAAAAUACAAUUAGAAAUUAAAAAAAA